rnacentral:rRNA from 1 species
GCGCACGGGUGCGUAACGCGGAUGCAAUCUACCUUUUACAGAGGGAUAGCCCAGAGAAAUUUGGAUUAAUACCUCAUAGUAUAGCUGAAUCGCAUGAUUCUACUAUUAUAGUCACAACGGUAAAAGAUGAGCAUGCGUCCCAUUAGCUAGUUGGUAAGGUAACGGCUUACCAAGGCUACUAUGGGUAGGGGUCCUGAUAGGGAGAUCCCCCACACUGGUACUGAGACACGGACCAGACUCCUACGGGAGGCAGCAGUGAGGAAUAUUGGACAAUGGGCGCAAGCCUGAUCCAGCCAUGCCGCGUGCAGGAUGACGGUCCUAUGGAUUGUAAACUGCUUUUAUACGAGAAGAAACACUGCUUCGUGAAGCAGCUUGACGGGAUCGUAAGAAUAAGGAUCGGCUAACUCCGUGCCAGCAGCCGCGGUAAUACGGAGGAUCCAAGCGUUAUCCGGAAUCAUUGGGUUUAAAGGGUUCGUAGGCGGUUUAAUAAAUCAGUGGUGAAAGCCCAUCGCUCAACGGUGGAACGGCCAUUGAUACUGUUAAACUUGAAUUAUUAGGAAGUAACUAGAAUAUGUAGUGUAGCGGUGAAAUGCUUAGAGAUUACAUGGAAUACCAAUUGCGAAGGCAGGUUACUACUAAUGGAUUGACG